CUGGUACCGAAGCGAGACGGCACGACUCGCUUCUGUAUUGACUACCGGAAACUGAACGACCGGACUGUAAUUGAUGCCUACCCCAUGCCUCGGACUGACGAAUUGCAUGGCUGGAGGUCAUUUUCCAACUACCCUAGACUUGUGCAAGGGAUAUUGCUGAUCGACUCCUAGAUGGAUUGAAUGACUUUGCAUGUGCCUACCUAGACGACAUUGCCAUCUAUAGUAGCGCAUGGGAUGGCCACUUGAAG